UGGGGAAUCUUGCACAAUGGGGGCAACCCUGAUGCAGCGACGCCGCGUGAGCGAUGAAGCCCUUCGGGGCGUAAAGCUCUUUCGACCGGAACGAUAAUGACGGUACCGGGAGAAGAAGCUGCGGCUAACUACGUGCCAGCAGCCGCGGAAAUACGUAGGCAGCAAGCGUUGUUCGGAGUUACUGGGCGUAAAGAGUGCGUAGGCGGUUUUCUAAGUUCGGUGUGAAAUCUCCCGGCUUAACUGGGAGGGUGCGCCGAAGACUGGGAAGCUGGAGUGUAGGAAAGGCAGGCGGAAUUCCGGGUGUAGCGGUGAAAUGCGUAGAUAUCAGGAGUAGCACCGGCGGUGGUGACGGCUUACUAGUCCAUAACCGACGCUGAGGCACUAAAGCGUGGGUA
rnacentral:rRNA from 1 species